rnacentral:rRNA from 1 species
AACUUUCAACAACGGAUCUCUUGGUUCUGGCAUCGAUGAAGAACGCAGCGAAAUGCGAUAAGUAAUGUGAAUUGCAGAAUUCCGUGAAUCAUCGAAUCUUUGAACGCACAUUGCGCCCUCUGGUAUUCCGGGGGGCAUGCCUGUUCGAGCGUCAUUGCAAACCCCUCAAGCACG